UACGUAGGCAGCGAGCGUUGUCCGGAUUUACUGGGCGUAAAGAGCGCGCAGGCGGUCGUGCAAGUCGCGUGUGAAAGCCCCCGGCUCAACUGGGGAGGGUCACGCGAUACUGCUCGACUCGAAGGCAGGAGAGGGAAGUGGAAUUCCCGGUGUAGUGGUGAAAUGCGUAGAUAUCGGGAGGAACACCAGUGGCGAAGGCGACUUCCUGGCCUGUUCUUGACGCUGAGGCGCGAAAGCUAGGGUAGCAAACGGG
rnacentral:rRNA from 1 species